rnacentral:rRNA from 1 species
GAUCAUUAGCGAAGCGAACGCCCUCCCGGGGCUGUGCUGGCGCUCCUGCGCACGUGCACGCCUCGGAGGGUUGUCCACCCUUCUCACACCUGUGCACACGUCCGGUCGGACCCGGCGCCUCGUGCGUCGACCGGCUGCCUUUCACAACAGCCAUGUCAGAGUGUCGAAAGCUUUAUGCGCUUGCGCAACCGAAAAACAACUUUUAACAACGGAUCUCUUGGUUCUCGCAUCGAUGAAGAACGCAGCGAAAUGCGAUAAGUAAUGUGAAUUGCAGAAUUCAGUGAAUCAUCGAAUCUUUGAACGCACCUUGCGCUCCUUGGUACUCCGAGGAGCAUGCCCGUUUGAGUGUCUCGAUAUCAUCAGAAGCCCAUGCCUCUGUGGCUGGUGCUCCUGGACUUGGAUGUGCUGCUGGGCGACCCCGCCCGGCUCGUCCGAAAUGCAUUAGCGAGAGAUGUAGGCCCCGCCGGCUCUCUUUGGCGUGAUAAGGUCACCCGUCGAGAGGCCCCCGGUGGUGAGGCCCGCGAUCCUUUUGCUUCCAACCGUCCUCGCGGACAACAGCAGACCUCGGUCUGACAUCUGACCUCAAAUCGGGUAGGACUACCCGCUGAACUUAAGCAUAUCAAUAAGCGGAGGAAAAGAAACUAACAGGGAUUCCCCUAGUAACUGCGAGUGAAGCGGGAAAAGCUCAAAUUUAAAAUCUGGCGGUUCUGCCGUCCGAGUUGUAAUUUAGAGAAGUGUUAUCCGCGCUGGACCGUGUACAAGUCUCCUGGAAUGGAGCGUCAUAGAGGGUGAGAAUCCCGUCUUUGACACGGACUGCCAGGGCAUUGUGAUGCGCUCUCAAAGAGUCGAGUUGUUUGGGAAUGCAGCUCAAAAUGGGUGGUAAAUUCCAUCUAAAGCUAAAUAUUGGGGAGAGACCGAUAGCGAACAAGUACCGUGAGGGAAAGAUGAAAAGAACUUUGGAAAGAGAGUUAAACAGUACGUGAAAUUGUUGAAAGGGAAACGCUUGAAGUCAGUCGCGCCGUUCAGAACUCAGCCUUGCUUUGCUUGGUGUACUUUCUGUCUGGUGGGUCAGCAUCAAUUUUGGUCGGUGGAUAAAGGCUCAGAGAAUGUGGCAUCUUCGGGUGUGUUAUAGCUCUGGGUCGCAUACAUCGGCUGGGAUUGAGGAACUCAGCACGCCGCAAGGCCGGGUACUUGUA